rnacentral:rRNA from 1 species
AGCGAACGCUGGCGGCAGGCUUAACACAUGCAAGUCGAACGGGCACUUCGGUGCUAGUGGCAGACGGGUGAGUAACACGUGGGAACGUACCUUUCGGUUCGGAAUAAUUCAGGGAAACUUGGACUAAUACCGGAUACGCCCUUCGGGGGAAAGAUUUAUCGCCGAUAGAUCGGCCCGCGUCUGAUUAGCUAGUUGGUGAG